UUAUAGCCCCGAUUGCAGCGGCAUCCUUUUUUGUUAUUGCGAUUGCUGAGAAGUUCCAAAUAUUGCUUCACUUUGUUCGCAAUGACAAAAAAGAUACAGCGGAAAGCGGGAAAUAGC
rfam:Chryseobacterium gambrini strain DSM 18014 genome assembly, contig: Ga0111674_106